rnacentral:rRNA from 1 species
GGAGUCUGGGCCGUGUCUCAGUCCCAAUGUGGCCGGUCGCCCUCUCAGGCCGGCUACGGAUCAUCACCUUGGUGGGCCGUUACCUCACCAACUAGUUAAUCCGACGCGGACCCAUCCUUGGCCGAUAAAUCUUUCCUCCUGCGAUCAUGCGGUCACAGGAUCUAUGCGGUAUUAGCACCCGUUUCCGGUUGUUAUCCCCCUGCCAAGGGUAGGUUGUCCACGUGUUACUCACCCAUCCGCCGCUAAGAUAACCACGGUGGAAUCAGACGAAUCUUCUUCCGGUGUGGUAUCUCCGCUCGACUUGCAUGUGUUAGGCACGCCGCCAGCGUUCAUC